rnacentral:lncRNA from 1 species
GGGUUUCCAAAAAUUUGAAGGAAACUGAAAAUCAUAGUUCCCAAACCAGAUAUUUUCCGGUGUCCAGAUGUUCACUGGCAUGCAAACCAAAUGUCUGGAUUAUGAGCUCCUUUUUUCAUUUCUUUUUAUCAGCUUACAUCCAGAUGUUGGAUCCAACUGGUCAGAGGCCUGGGGCAGAGACAGAAAUCAAAUCUAGGGUGUUCAUCUAGAGUCUCCUGCUCCUCCAUUCCUGCUUCCUCCUCACGCUGCCCCCACAUCCUCCCCAACUCACCUUCAUGCUACAUCUCGGCAAAUACAGCUCAUAUCCAGGCACGGUGCAGCCCUUGACAGCUGGGUCCGCAAAGGCAGAUCGGGUAUAUCUUUAAAGAAAAGUUAUCUUAACCAUUGAGAAGCCUUCCUUCCUCAGAGGAGAGCACCUCCCCAGCAGACCUCCGAGGAGACCAAGGGCAGGACAGGAAGGGUGAAAGGAAGUUUCAGGACUGCAGGAAAUAAGAGCUUGGAGGUCAAGGGAGAGAUCAGAUAAAACAUGAAUCUGAUCAGCAUCCUAGUGGUCUAGAGUGGAGACAAUCUGCGGAGUCAACCUCAGUAAGGACACACAUAGAGAAGAACCAAAGCCUCUAAAGACGAAGCUGAGAAGUGUACGGUCGUAGAAGACUCGUGUCUGUUAUUCUUAAAAGCUCAAGGAGAUGUUCUGCCAAUUGAAUGGAAACUGUCCAUAGUGGGGAGCAGAGAGCCUCAUCUUUUCUGGAACUGAACAUCCAUCCUUAAGGCCAGAUUUCUCCCAUCACCAACUUUAACUCCUGCCCUAGCCCUCUCUCUUCCUUUUCAAAACCCUCUCCACCCAGGAAGGGAGAUUCUGGAGCCAAGACUGUACCAGCCACACCUCCCCAGAGUUGUUAAGGAAGGAACUCGAAGCCAGGGGUGGUCUUCUGGCAAGCACCCCCACUACCAGUAGCAG